UUCGGCCGGGCGCAGUCCAUUAAAGGACUGAGCCAGCCCAACCGUCCAAUAAAGGGGUAAUACCCCUAUCAUUUCCCAUUCUUUAUCAACCAAACGCACCCCACUAGUUUUCUCGCUCAAGGGUUAUAAACCCUAGCACAGCCACCCCUCCCCACACCCUCUCUCUUACGUCACGUUGCCGGAUAUGGCAAAGAUAAGGGCCCGCAUGGCUUUUGCAGCUGUGAACCUGAUCGAGAAUGGCAAGAGCAUUAAACGCUCUGUCAUUUCUCAACCAAUACUCCCAAAACUUAGCCCAAACACGGUAUUACCACCUCUUUUUCACUUUGCUUUUGCUUUACAACGGUCGAUUGACUAAGCUUUCUUAAUGGUUUUUGUUGUUAUUCGAUUUUGAACUCUCGACCCUCAUUGGUUCAGGAGGAAUCGAGUGGAUCGAUCAAUGGAAGCUUUAAUCUAGCUGUUUAAUUGUUGUCUGUGCCUAAUCUGAGCCGCACGAUGUUGAUUGUAAGGAACAAGUCCAAAAUCUUGACUUGUCUCACAUCGGUGAGAUUACGUUUUUGUUGCAAUUUGGGGUUCUAUAAAUAGAACCCCCCCCCCCCAAAUCCCAUUGAGGGAUAGACCUGAACACCGAAUAUCAUAUAUUCACAAAAAGAACUCGAAAAUACUAAAGGUUUUAGCAAUAUUGCUGAGACCUUUAAAUUGAGUUAAGUCUAAAUUUUAAGGUUUGUUUCUUCUGUUUUUUGUGUGUGGCUGAGCUUGGGUGGAGGAACAAAGGUCUCCAAGUCCAUUCUCAAUAGCAGGCUGCAUAAAAAAGUGGCCAACUACUUCUGUCCAUUGAUCGAGUCCGAUAAAGAGAAAGGGAAGCUAAUGUUUUCUUUGAAGGCCCAGCCAUAGGUGAAAAUGACUUGAAGGCCCAACUAUGGGUGAAAAUAGUAAUGCGGUGGGCUUAGGUUAGCCCACCAGCCUAACUCCCUCUAUUUCUUUCAUUAUUUGUGUAUAUGAAUUUGUAAAAACACUUGAAAAACUA